AGGGCACCACCAGGAGUGGAGCCUGCGGCUUAAUUUGACUCAACACGGGAAAACUCACCCGGCCCGGACACUGUAAGGAUUGACAGACUGAGAGCUCUUUCUUAAUUCAGUGGGUGGUGGUGCAUGGCCGUUCUUAGUUGGUGGAGUGAUUUGUCUGGUUAAUUCCGAUAACGAACGAGACUCUGGCCUAUUAAAUAGACGGUGUAUCUUGAAGUAUACCGCGCUUCUUAGAGGGACAAGCGGCGUCUAGCCGCAUGAAAUAGAGCAAUAACAGGUCUGUGAUGCCCUUAGAUGUCCGGGGCUGCACGCGCGCUACACUGAAAGAAUCAGCGUGCGAUUAGCCUGGUUCGGAAGAAUCGGGUAACCCAAGUAAAUUCUUUCGUGCUUGGGAUAGGGAAUUGCAAUUAUUUCCCUUAAACGAGGAAUUCCCAGUAAAUGCGGGUCAUAAGCUCGCGUUGAUUACGUCCCUGCCCUUUGUACACACCGCCCGUCGCUACUACCGAUUGGAUGACUUAGUGA
rnacentral:rRNA from 1 species